CUGGUCCUGAACCAAGGCCAGCAGCUUCCUGACACUGUUGGUUUCAAGCAGGAGCCUAAAGACAUGUCUGUUGGCCAUUUCAGAACUUGGACCGUGAAAUGGUCAGUUCAUUAGAAAGAAACAGCU
ensembl:snoRNA